CUAACAACUAUGCGAGUGUUUGGGUGUAAAACAAGUACGCAUAAUGAAAGUGAACGUAGGUGGGAACCUUUUGGUGCACCAUCGACCGAUCCUGAUGUAUUCGGAUGGAUUUGAGUAAGAGCAUAGCUGUUGGGACCCGAAAGAUGGUGAACUAUGCCUGAAUAGGGUGGAGCCAGAGGAAACUCUGUUGGAGGCUCAGUAAACAAAUUUGCGAGUGGACAAAGUUAACGUACCAUAAUACAAUCCCG
rnacentral:ncRNA from 1 species